rnacentral:rRNA from 1 species
CCUACGGGUGGCAGCAGUGAGGAAUAUUGGUCAAUGGGCGCGAGCCUGAACCAGCCAAGUCGCGUGAGGGAAGACGGUCCUAUGGAUUGUAAACCUCUUUUGUCGGGGAGCAAAAGACGCCACGCGUGGCGUUCCGAGAGUACCCGAAGAAAAAGCAUCGGCUAACUCCGUGCCAGCAGCCGCGGUAAUAAGGAGGAUGCGAGCGUUAUCCGGAUUUAUUGGGUUUAAAGGGUGCGCAGGCGGAAGAUCAAGUCAGCGGUAAAAUUGAGGGGCUCAACCUCAUCGAGCCGUUGAAACUGGUUGUCUUGAGUGAGCGAGAAGUAUGCGGAAUGCGUGGUGUAGCGGUGAAAUGCAUAGAUAUCACGCAGAACUCCGAUUGCGAAGGCAGCAUACCGGCGCUCAACUGACGCUCAUGCACGAAAGUGUGGGUAUCGAACAGGAUUAGAUACCCCAGUAGUC